rnacentral:rRNA from 1 species
GACGAACGCUGGCGGCGUGCUUAACACAUGCAAGUCGAACGGGAUUUAGUAGACAGAAGCCUCGGCUAAAGAUUACUAAUGAGAGUGGCGAACGGGUGAGUAACGCGUGAGCAACCUGCCUAUGACAGUGGGAUAGCCUCGGGAAACCGGGAUUAAUACCGCAUAAAAUCGUAGAAACACAUGUUUUAACGGUCAAAGAUUUAUCGGUCAUAGAUGGGCUCGCGUCUGAUUAGCUAGUUGGUGAGAUAACAGCCCACCAAGGCGACGAUCAGUAGCCGGUCUGAGAGGAUGAACGGACACAUUGGAACUGAGACACGGUCCAAACUCCUACGGGAGGCAGCAGUGGGGAAUAUUGCACAAUGGGGGAAACCCUGAUGCAGCGACGCCGCGUGAACGAAGAAGGUAUUCGUAUCGUAAAGUUCUGUCCUAUGGGAAGAUAAUGACAGUACCAUAGAAGAAAGCUCCGGCUAAAUACGUG